rnacentral:rRNA from 1 species
GAGUUUGAUCAUGGCUCAGGAUGAACGCUGGCGGCGUGCCUAAUACAUGCAAGUCGAGCGGUAAGGCUUCCACUCUGUGUUCAACGUGUUUGAACAUGGUGUGGAAGUACACGAGCGGCGGACGGCUGAGUAACACGUAGGAACGUACCCCAAACUGAGGGAUAAGCACCAGAAAUGGUGUCUAAUACCGCAUGUGCUCUUCGGAGUAAAGCUACGGCGGUUUGGGAACGGCCUGCGCAUGAUUAGCUUGUUGGUGAGGUAAAAGCUCACCAAGGCGACGAUCAUUAGCUGGUCUGAGAGGAUGAUCAGCCAGACUGGGACUGAGAACGGCCCAGACUCCUACGGGAGGCAGCAGUAGGGAAUUUUCCACAAUGGACGAAAGUCUGAUGGAGCAAACGCCGCGUGCAGGACGAAGGCCUGGUUGUAAACUGCUUUUAUCUGUGACGAUUAUGACGGUAGCAGAUGAAUAAGGAAUCGGCUAACUCCGUGCCAGCCGCCGCGGU